rnacentral:sRNA from 1 species
CUGACUGGAUACGCUGCUGUGAUGGGUUAAAGGAUUUACCUGAGG